UUGUCGGGUCAUAGAGUGUUUAUGAAUUGGAGAAGGAAAUGGCAACCCACUCCAGUGUUCUUGCUUGGAGAAUCCCAGGGAUGGGGGAGCCUGUUGGGCUGCUGUCUCUGGGGUCGCACAGAGUCGGACAUGACUGAAGUGACUUAGCAGCAGCAGCAGCAGAGUGUUUAUGAACACGAGGAUCCUGUCAGGGACGUGGAGGCAACCUAAAUUUCCAUCCAUGGAAGAAUGGAUAAAGAAGAUGAAGUACAUAUAUACUAUGGAAUAUACUCAGCUAUGAAAAAGAACAAAACAUUGUCACUUGCAGCAACAUGGAUGAACCUGGAGAGUACCAUACUAAGUGAAACAAGUCAGAUGGAGAAAGACUAAAACCUUAUGAUAUCACCUAUAUCUAAGAAAAAUUGUGAAAUUGAAGUGAUACAAAUAAACUUAUUUACAAAACA